rnacentral:rRNA from 1 species
UAGGGAAUCUUCCGCAAUGGACGCAAGUCUGACGGAGCAACGCCGCGUGAGUGAAGAAGGAUUUCGGUUCGUAAAACUCUGUUGUUAGAGAAGAACAGCGCAUAGAGUAACUGUUAUGCGUGUGACGGUAUCUAACCAGAAAGCCACGGCUAACUACGUGCCAGCAGCCGCGGUAAUACGUAGGUGGCAAGCGUUGUCCGGAUUUAUUGGGCGUAAAGCGAGCGCAGGCGGUCAAUUAAGUCUGAUGUGAAAGCCCCCGGCUCAACCGGGGAGGGUCAUUAGAAACUGGUUGUCUUGAGUGCAGAAGAGGAGAGUGGAAUUCCAUGUGUGGCGGUGAAAUGCGUAGAUAUAUGGAGGAACACCAGUGGCGAAGGCUACUCGCUGGUCUGUUACUGACGCUGAGGUUCGAAAGCGUGGGUAGCAAACAGG